UAUACUAAUGGCAUUAACGAUCCUCAGGUGUUAACUGUUAGCACAGAGCUUGUGGGGUUUCCACACCUGCAGAGGAGGGUGUGCAGGUGAUCCAGUUGCUCGUGAAGACAAAAAAAAAGAUCUCCUCGUAGCUGUACAUUUCAAAGUCACUGCUUGAAAAAUGUUGGAUUUCUCACAACAGAUUCAAGGGCUUACAGAAACUCCUGACUAAAAAAGUCAAGAUUCAUUUGAGCCACAUCAAAUGCACCUUGCCCGUUCUGUGAGGAUUUCAGACCAUGCUUAUUCUCACAACACCACCAGCCUAAAAAGCUGAAACUUGCAGCACAGUGUAAUACAGCAGCUUGGGCUUGAGGGCUCUGCCAAGCAUAACAUCAGAUCUUCCAAAGAGUGAGGUUAGAUAAAACACCAGAUAUAUGGCAAAUUCUUGAUUGAAAUGAAACACCAAACAUUUCUCCUUGGCUGGCAACAGGGACAUGGCUUCUGUCUUUCCUCCUUCCUUUCUCCCUUCCUGAGGCUGUUUCUAUGCACCCAGUGGAGAAUGUCCAAAAGACGUUGAGCAGAGCCCAAAGCUCAGGGUGCGGGAGCCGCCAGCAACUCCUCAUCCCUAUCAGUGUCUCCUCCGAAACCGAGAAGCCCACAGAUUGUUCUCACUGAGGAUUCCUGCUUAUCCCAACGGUUCAAAUCCAGCACUCCUGAACUUCACCUGCCUCAACAGGUUAGAGAUGAGUGUGGCUCCACGGCACAGCAGACACACUGGACGGGAAACACACUCCUCAUGCAACCGCCCAGGACGUUCAGGUGAAGCCCCAGAGGCCUCUGUUCCUCUGUCUUACGCCAUCGAAUAAUAACAUAAUAAAGAGAUGCCUUGAAAAGAUACUAACGAAGAAAGUUGGAUGGUAACCCUCCGGAGCUGCUCUGGCGCAGGAGGGAAGGUCGGGGAGGUUGUGCAUCAGCAGGCACACAGGGCGGCUCGGCUCCCCGGGCGCACAUCGAAACAAGCCGCCCCCAGGCUGCUCCCCGCGGAAAAGGCCGGCGCUGGGCGCGGGUGCGCAGGGGGCCUUUGCCGGCAGCCCCCCUCUCUGCCCGGGAGCAGAGGUGCGUUCAGUCUGUAUGUGGCACUGUGGUACAAGUGACCGCUGCCGGGAAGCCAAGCGGGGGAGGGCUUGGGGGAAGCUUAGAAUUUUGCAAGAGAAAACAA